rnacentral:lncRNA from 1 species
GCUUGUACCGCCCCCUGCUGGCCGGCGAAACAGCCGGGAGGCUGGAGCCGCCCGACCAGGAGCAGAACCCACGCGGCGCUGAGGGGACGCGACAGCGGUCGGCCCCGCCCCCGCCCGCGCGCGCGCGCCGAAGUCCCCGCCCCCGGGCCGCGCGCGCUCGCCCGCGCAGGCCCCGCCCCCUCGCCGACACAACGUUCCUGCGGGGGCGCGCGCGUGCUCCCUAAUCCCCCGCCUUCCGGCUCCGGCGGCGCCGCUCGCCCCUCGCCGCCGCCGCGCUGCUCGUGUCAGCGUCCCUCCGGUGACUCCAUUUGCUCGCAGGGCGGUGUGGCAGCCGCGCAGGCAGGCGGAGAGCAAUGCCCCCGGCCCGCGGACUGGCUUGCCCUGCGCCCGGCGGCCGCUCGCGGGCUGGCUGGCUGCGGCGGUGACACCCCGGUCGCCCUCCGCGUGAGCAGAGACGUCCCGCGCUCCGGAGCUCGCCCCGGGGAGAGGCCCUCGCCCCCACGGCUUCUCUCUCACCUCUUAAUUUCAGGAGGUUGCGGAGGGUCCGAGUGCCUAUACAACCCCCACAGGAACUACUUCUGUUGGCCCAUCGAGGAUCAUCUUUCACCAGGAUUAUUGUAACAUCUUCACUGAGCCUUCCACCCCAUACCUUCUACCAUGAGUCCUGAUUUCUACCAAUGAAGUUUUUUAAUGCUUUCUUUAAUCAUGUGACACCACCUCUUGUCCACCUUUUUCCUUUCCAGCUGGCAAAUACAUUAGGUAUCAGUUAGUGUGUGUUAGAGUACAAAGUUUCCUGCCUGUCCCCUUUCACAUUAUUGGCAUCGCUCACUUCUGUCCAGCUCGUCUUCCCUUGCCUGUGAUUUCCAUAACCACUCACUUUGUAACCCAUAGCAGCCCUUGCCUAGAAGAGCCAGCAUUCCACACCAUGCACUGCCUGACAAAGACAACAGUCAGGGGGUGAGUUUUCCCCUUGUAUUUCCUGUGUGUUAAAUCUGCAAGUCCUCUCUUGACUUAAACUAUUUAUUCCCUAGCACAUUUCCCCAAAUACUUGCACCUGCGUCCUCCUUCCUUUAGCAAAGAAGCUCAGCCUAAUGUUGGCAAGAAGAAUCGAGUAUGCAGUAGGACGGCUUUAGAGACUUUGCGGGUUCACUAUUGGUUGCAAUCUCCAUUGAGAUUGCAGUUCAUGAAAAGACCUUAAACUAAGUGAGGAGGAUGAAAGAGAGAAGAUAAGGUUAAGUGAAGCUAGUUUUUGCUGUAGGAACUUUGUAAGUUUUAAGAUAGCAAGGUGAAGAGAGUCACAUAGGCCUUGCCUGGAAAUUGGCCAGCAUACUGUCCAUCUAGGUCCUAGGGCUACAGGGGAAGGAUCUUAAAAGCCCGUUGUCUAGUCUCAUUGUGUUCAAAUCCAAGUUAAAUAUCUUGUUCUGGUAAUCGCC